AAAGGGGAAAGGAAGGGACAAGAUAUGAAACCGUACUCUGUUUUCCAUAGACUCUAAUCCUAGUGGAAGGAAAGGUGAUGACAAUCUGGAGAGAGCAAGAGUUGCACCUGCCAGGGCUUUGGCUAGUGGAAGCUUUCCUAAGAUGAAUCAGAACUGGGGUUGGAGUGUCCCUCUGGAGGUGGACAGGAGGUCAAGGAGUUUCUUACAAAGGAAUCUGUAUCAUGUGCGGUAGCCACACCCCAAUUAAAUCAUAUUGGCAGGCUGACUAAAUGAGGUUGAAGAUAACUGACAGCUGUCAAACCCAUCACUGUGUGAGAGAGAUGUCUACCACAACCAUGUAACAAUUUUCCUUGGUGGAGUGAACAGAUGAGAACAAUUUGUUCCAUUGGCUAUGAAGGCAGCUGAAGGAAGGGCUGUGGAGUCUUUAGAUCUUCAGCUAUCAAAGACUCUAAGGUUAUUAUCAACUACAACCUAGGCCAUUGCCAAUCAUCUUAAUUUUUGUCACCCAUGAUGUUAUUGGUCCUCUUGGGAAUGAACAACCAUGAACAAUGGUUACCAAUGAUGCCAGAGAAAAUGGUAGCAUUAAGUACUCAGAUGGAUAUUGAUAAUAGUAGAUAUAGAUUUUACAUGUACAAUAAUGUAAAACAUUUCUCCAUUUCAAUCACUUUGUGGAAGAAAUAUCAAAUAAAAAAGAAGAAAAAUUGAAAUAUAGUAUUUUUGUUCU